GAAAGUUAGAGACUUUCGUCUCUGGAGUGCCUUUCAGCCUCCGAAACUUGCCCCCGAAAGGGUUCGGCAGCCGAAAGUGGAAGUUCGGCCGCCGAAGGUGCUUGAGUUUCGUCUCUGGAGAGGACUUUCGGCCGCCGAACCUGCCGCCGAAAGUGUCCUGUCUAGCUUUCAUUUGCAUGCUUUGCAUGGAUAUUAGCGUGAGUUUAAGGGGAUUCUUGGGGAGUUUCAUAGAGUUGUUCAUAAGCUAGUUUGGUCCCUCAUUUGAGUCAAUCUGUAUAGGUACAGACCAGAGGAACCAGAGAGAGCAGCAGUGAGUACUGCUCCAGAGUGUUCAGAGCCUGCAGAGUUAGUCAGUCCAGAUAGCCAGAGGUGAGUGGAACUAAACUGAAUACUUUUAAUUGAGAUAUAAACUGCUUUCAGCAUAGUUCAUGCAUCAUGAGUAUACAGCAGGUUGUUUGCAUUAGCGUACACGAAUAUGUUGCAUUGCAUAGUUAUUUGAUGAUGUGAGUGAAUGCUGAAUGAUCCAAUAGUCUCAGACAGGAAGUCCAGGAGCCUUUGACUACGCCCUGGCAGUUAUAGUAAAGACCAGGAGCCUUUGACUACGCCCUGGCAAUGGUAAGUACAGAGGUGUUAUAUACACAUAUACAUAUAUGACAGGAAGACUAGGUGCUCGAUUCUACGCCCUGACACAGAGUUACUGGGACUAUGUGGUGACAGGUUUACUCUUGAUGUGAUUUGUCUGUAUUAUGACGCAUUCCAUGAGAUCAUAUUUUAAUGAGAUGUUUUCCUGUUCUACUCACUGGGCUAUAGAGCUCAUCCCACUCCCUUAACCCCAGUUUUGCAGGUUCAGUGUACAGUAUAGAAAGGAGAGCAGCAGAAUGCCAAAAGAGUAAAGAGUAAAGAGACUUGUAAUAGCUUAGAGUGGACAUGUAAUAUGAAAAAGAUGUAAUAGUUGUGUAUAC
rnacentral:lncRNA from 1 species